rnacentral:rRNA from 1 species
UACAGAGGGGGCAAGCGUUAUUCGGAAUUAUUGGGCGUAAAGGGCGCGUAGGCGGCCUGGCAAGUGGAAGGUGAAAUCCCUCGGCUUAACCGAGGAACUGCCCUCCAAACUGCUUGGCUUGAGUCCGGUAGAGGAAGGUGGAAUUCCUAGUGUAGAGGUGAAAUUCGUAGAUAUUAGGAGGAAUACCGGUGGCGAAGGCGGCCUUCUGGACUGUUCUUGACGCUGAGACGCGAAAGCGUGGGUAGCAAACAGG